rnacentral:misc_RNA from 1 species
GAAAUGCGAUAAGUAGUGUGAAUUGCAGAAUUCAGUGAAUCAUCGAAUCUUUGAACGCACAUUGCGCCCCUUGGUAUUCCAUGGGGCAUACCUGUUCGAGCGUCAUUUGUACCCUCAAGCUCUGCUUGGUGUUGGGUGUUUGUCCCGUCUCCGCGCGUGGACUCGCCCCAAAGUGAUUGGCAGCCGGCGUACUGGUCCCGGAGCGCAGCACAUGUCGCGCAAACGAGUGCCUUGGUACGGCGGCGUCCAUAAGCCCCUCUCUCACGCUCUUGACCUCGGAUCAGGUAGGGAUACCCGCUGAACUUAAGC